GAUGAACGCUGGCGGCGUGCUUAACACAUGCAAGUCGAACGAUGAAGCUGGAGCUUGCUCUGGUGGAUUAGUGGCGAACGGGUGAGUAACACGUGAGCAACCUGCCCCUGACUCUGGGAUAACAGCCGGAAACGGCUGCUAAUACCGGAUAUGCACCCUGAACGCAUGUUCUGUGGUGGGAAAGAUUUUUCGGUUGGGGAUGGGCUCGCGGCCGAUCAGCUUGUUGGGGAGGUAAUGGGUCACCAAGGCGUCGACGGGUAGCCGGCCUGAGAGGGUGACCGGCCACACUGGGACGGAGACACGGCCCAGACUCCUACGGGAGGCAGCAGUGGGGAAGAUUGCACAAUGGGCGAAAGCCUGAUGCAGCAACGCAGCGUGAGGGAUGACGGCCUCCGGGUUGUAAACCUCUUUUAGCAGGGAAGAAGCGAGAGUGACGGUACCUGCAGAAAAAGCGCCGGCUAACUACGUGCCAGCAGCCGCCGUAACAC
rnacentral:rRNA from 1 species